rnacentral:lncRNA from 1 species
CCCUUGCCAGUCAGCAGGAAAAGAUGGUGAGUAAAGUAGGAAGUUGCAAACCACCAUAAUGUAUAUGGUUGGUUGGGGUGUUAACUGUCUUAGGUGCUGAUUAGAAGAGGACUAACGCUUAACAUGUUGGUUUGGGCUAGUUAAUAAAGGCCUAGAAUAAAGGCCUUAUUUACUAUAAAUGUUUCCUAUCAAGUUUUUUUCCCCUAAUUUUUUUUAUUGAGUUCUUUAUUCCUAAUGGGCUUCCUAGUAAAGGAAAAGAAAGACACAAUGUUUUCUGCAUUUAUAAUACUGAAAAUAAUUAGCAUCUGUACUAGUAGCACUUGAAGACCACAAAAUAUUUUCAUAAGCACUAAUUAGACUUUAUUACACACCUGGAAGGUAAUCCAAGGAUCAAAAGAAAUGUUGACCAUUUUCAGGAGGUUUGGCAGACUCCUUUCUGCACAUUAGAAGAAUCACUUGAUAUAAUUAUCUGAACAUCAGAUAAACCCAUUAAACAAAAAGAAGUUACUGGAACUGACAUUUUCAGGCCUGUAUUAUUAAUAUGA